CAUUGGGAAGCAUGGAAAAUAGAGCUCCUACUGUUUUUUCAGCCCAGGAACAGAGCUGGGUUGCGAACCCUGAGCUAUAUUUAGAAAUUUUUUCCACCACUCCCCCCACCCCACAGUAUGAAGCCAUUAAAAUCUCCAGGAUAGCUUUCAAUAGUCUCCUGAAGACUAAUGCCAAUUCUUGGAGACUCCAGGCCCACCCUGAAGGGCUGGCAAUCCUAUGAGUGCUCCUGAGUAUCCUUCUGAGAGUGCUUUCAGAAGCUUUCAGACCUUAAAUCUGAGGCCUCCUCUGCUGCCAGUUCUCCUGCUGCUGCUCCCCGUUCCUAGAGGAGUAUGUAUCAGAGGGUGAGGAAGAUGAACCUGAUUCUGAAGAAAUGCAUCUGAUCUGAGCUUGAAUUUGCUGGCUAAAAAUCAGGUGUGCCUUGCCUUGUCCAGAGACAGGGCAGAAGGAGAGAGAGAACCAAAGCUUCUCCAGCUGGGCUGACUCUGCUAUUUUGUUCUGCCCCACUCACUAGCAGAAGAAUGUGGGGACUUGCUUCAUGAAAAGUGCUACUUCCAAGGAUUGGACCAAUGGAACUGGUGAAGAAAGAAAAAGGUCUGGUCUACAGAAACUCAUUGAGGAGAUGAUGGCCCAUAUUCCUCACCUAAUUUAGAAGACCAACCUCACAUACUCUAACAUGAUACCUCUCAUUCCAUCACUGGUUAGAAUGACCUAAACACCUCCCUGUCUGAAUAUUUCUUAACUGUUCAUUUUACAAGGUGAACUGAAAAUCCCUGUCAAGAUAACAUAGAAUUAGUCAGGGCUUCAAAAACUGACGACUGCCAGCAAGGAAGACCUGCCUCCAUCACAGGCUGAGUGAACUCCACCAGUUCAGUCCCACUCCCUUGCUUUUGAAGUCCUCGGUUGGAACUGCCACCUAGAAGGCAGUUCCAAAGGGCAACACCAGAGAAGACCAAAGACAAGGCAGCAUGAAUGAUCUUGCAGCCAUCUGAACACAAUGCUAUUGCGUUGCAUGACUUAUUGCCGUUUUAUUAUGAUAAUUUUUAUAAGCUGCUUUGAGAACCUCUUGGGGCUAUAAAAUGGAAUAUAAGUAUUUUAAAUAAAUAAUAAACAGUGUUCUCCCUAA